CGUACUCAACACUAGCUCAGAGUGGCAAGCACCUUCUGCGGACACACUGAAGCUGCUAGCACGCUAAGCGACAACACUCGGUAUUCUUCUCCAAAUAUAUUUGUAUUUCACUUGUGUUUAGAAUAACUGUUUCAAGAUGGAGUUCGAUCCAAACGAUCCGCUCGCGAUUCUUCGCAUCGACAAAUCUCAAAUCAUGGCACAAGCCAAGGAGUUCGAAUCCAAGAAAUGGGUAUGGAUUCCCGAUCCCAAGGAAGGGUACAAGGCUGCCGAAGUGAAGAGCACAAAGGGGGACAAUUUUUUGGUGGAGACCAACGAUGGCCAGGAGGUUGAAAUCAAUAAGAAUGACACCGAACAGAUGAAUCCACCGAAAUACGAGAAGACUGAGGAUAUGUCCAAUCUCACAUACUUGAAUGAAGCUAGCGUUGUGCACAAUUUAAAGCAACGUUACUUCUCCGGCUUGAUUUAUACAUACUCCGGUCUCUUUUGUGUGGCUAUCAACCCCUACCGCAGACUGCCCAUCUAUACCGACAAGAUUGUGUUCGCUUACCGUGGCAAGCGUAAGACUGAGGCCCCACCUCACGUCUUCUGCAUCUGUGACAAUGCCUACCAGAACAUGUUACAGGACCGUGAGAACCAGUCCAUGUUGAUCACUGGUGAGUCUGGAGCAGGAAAGACUGAGAACACAAAGAAGGUCAUCCAGUACCUUGCCCAUGUGUCUGGUGGAAUCUCUAAAGCAGAUGAGGAGCACAAGAAGCAAACGGGAGGCUCCCUUGAAGACCAGGUCAUCCAGACUAACCCUAUCCUUGAGGCUUAUGGAAAUGCCAAAACCAUCAGGAACAACAACUCCUCACGUUUCGGAAAGUUCAUUCGCUGCCACUUCGGCCCACAAGGAAAACUCGCAGGAGCCGAUAUUGAGUCUUAUCUGCUCGAGAAGUCCAGGGUAAUCUACCAACAGGAAAUUGAGAGGAAUUACCACAUCUUCUACCAGAUCCUCUAUGGUGCACCCAAGGACCUCCACGAUCAACUUCUCCUCGAGAGCAACAAGACCGCCGACUACGCCUACACCGCGAAGGGAUGUGAGCGUGCAGAUGGUAUCGACGACGUCGAGGAGUGGGCCAACACUGAGUUGGCCGCCGACACCCUUGGUUUCACAGCGGAAGAGAAAUUGUCCAUGUACAAGAUCUGCGCUGCUUGCCUUCAUUGGGGAAACUCUAAGUUCAAGCAGAGGCCACGAGAGGAGCAGGCUGAAGUUGCUGACCCCAAGGAUCUCGACAAGACCUCCUUCUUGAUGAAGCUGCCAGGCGCUGACUUUGUCAAGAACAUCGUCAAGCCCAGGAUCAAAGUCGGUCGUGAAUACGUCAACCAGGGACGUAACCUGCAACAGGUGAACUACUCCAUUGGAGCUCUGACCAAGUCCCUGUACGAGCGCAUGUUCUUGUGGCUCGUCGACCGUGCCAACCAGACACUUAUGACCAAGGACCGCCGUGCCUUCUUUAUUGGUGUACUAGAUAUUGCUGGUUUCGAGAUCUUCCAGUUCAACUCCUUCGAGCAGCUUUGUAUCAACGUGACUAAUGAGAAACUUCAGCAAUUCUUUAACCAUCACAUGUUCAUCCUGGAGCAGGAAGAGUACAAGAGGGAGGGAAUCCACUGGGAGUUUAUCGACUUCGGUCACGAUCUCGAACCCACCAUCAACCUGAUCUUCGGAAAGGGUACCGGUAUUUUCGCCAUCCUGGAGGAGGAAUGCAUCGUCCCCAAGGCCACUGAUCAGACCUUCCUGCAGAAGCUGAACAACACCCACGAUGGAAAGUCAGCCAAGUUCGGAAAACCCAAGAUCUCUGGCAAGAAGCAGGUCAACUACCACUUCGAAAUCCAUCACUAUGCUGGUACUGUCGGCUACAAUGUUGACAACUGGCUGGACAAGAACAAGGACCCUAUCAAUGAAGCUGUUGCUUCUCUGUUCGCCAAAUCUGGUGAUCCAUUCAUUUCCCACUUGUGGAAGGAGUACGCCACUGAGGGGCACACCCGUGGUAAGGGAGGCUCCUUCCAGACCGUCAGCGCAAAGCAUAAGGAACAACUGCAGAGCUUGAUGGACACCCUAUACAGCACUUCUCCUCACUUUGUGCGUUGCAUCAUCCCCAACGAGUUGAAGAAGGCAGGAGUGAUCGACACACCACUGGUUAUCCACCAGCUGAGGUGUAACGGUGUGCUGGAGGGAAUCCGUAUCUGCCGCAAGGGCUUCCCCAACAGGAUCCCCUUCCAAGAGUUCAAGCAGAGAUACCAGAUUCUCGCCCCCACUGCAGUGUCAGGUCAGUUCAUGGAUGGCAAAAAGGCCUGCGAAAAAUUGCUUGCAGCUAUCCAGCUUGAGGAGAACGAGUACAGGAUUGGAACAACCAAGGUGUUCUUCCGUGCUGGUGUGCUUGGUCACCUUGAGGACUUGCGUGACGAUCGUCUCGCAAAGAUCAUCAGUAUGUUCCAGGCCUACUGCAAGGGGUUCCUUAUGCGCAAGGAAUACCGCAAGAUGUGCGACCAGAGGAUCGGUAUCUCAGUCAUCCAGCGCAACGUCCGCAAGUACCUGUACCUCCGCAACUGGGCGUGGUGGAAGCUGUACACGAGGGUGAAGCCUUUGCUGCAGGUCGCCCGUGCGGACGAGGAAAUGAAACAGAAGGUCGAGCAGAUGAAAGAAAUCGAGGAGAAACUUGGCAAGGAGGAGGCUUUGAGAAAAGAACUGGAAGAGAAAUACACCAAGUUGGUGGAGGAGAAGAACCUGCUCUUCCAAGACUUCCAGAGGGAACAAGACGCAUGCGCGGACGCCGAGGAGAGGAAUGCAGAGCUUGAGGGCAGGAAAGCCGACCUCGAGGCCCAGGUCAAAGACAUGCUGGAGCAGCUCGAGGAUGAGGAGGAAGCAAGUGCCGAGCUCUCAUCCGUCAAGCACAAACUCGAGGGAGAAAUCAGCGACCUUAAACAAGACAUCGAGGAACUCGACGCUACCCUCAAAAAGGUGGAAGAAGAGGGCAAGCAAAAGGACAAGAACAUCGAGCAACUCAACGAGGAAUUACAACAACAAGACGAAGCCAUCGCAAAAUUACAAAAAGCCAAGAAGCAAGUCGAAGACGAGCGAACGGAACUCGAGGAUCACCUUCAAGAGGAACAGAACAAAGUCAGUCACCUCACUAAGACCAAGCUAAAGCUUGAGAGCACUCUUGACGAAGUUAACCUCAACUUGGAGAGGGAAAAGAAGGUUCGCGGAGAGGUCGAGAAAGUCAAGAGGAAACUUGAAGGUGACCUCAAGAUGACUCAACAGACCCUCGAAGAAACACAGGCCGAGAAGGCUCGCACAGAGGAUGAAGUCAGAAAGCGAGACGCUAACAUCGUUGAGCUGAGCGGGAAACUUGAGGACAGCAACAACCUUGUGGAAUCACUCAGGAAGAGGAUCCGUGAGCUCGAGGCGCGUGUGGAAGAACUUGAAGAAGAGCUCGAAGCUGAACGCAACGCUCGCUCCAAGUCCGAACGAGCAAGGCAAGAACUCGAACAUGAACUCGAUGAUCUCAACGAACGUCUCGAUGAGCAAGGUGGUGCCACGCAGGCUCAGAUGGAACUCAACAAGAAGAGGGAAAGCGACAUCAUCAAGCUGCGAAAAGACUUGGAGGAGCAGGCCCUCGCACACGAGCAAGCCGUCAACAGUAUGCGCAGCAAACAGAACCAACAGAUGCAGGAGAUGCAAGAAGAACUCGACCAAGUCAAGAAAACAAAGGCUAAGCUCGAGAAGGAGAAAGCACAGCUCACUAACGAGGGUGAUGAUCUCGCUGUCACUGUGGAAACUCUGCAGAAACAAAAGCAAGCCUCUGAGAAGAACAACCGCGCCAUCAGUGAUCAGCUCGCUGAAUCCAAGGCUCAGAACGAAGAACUGAGGAAGAACAUCCAGGAGCUGCAAGCGAUCCGAAGUCGAAUCGAGGCCGAGAAUGCCGACGUCAACCGCCAACUCGAGGAGCAGGAAAAUAAGGGUGGUCAACUUGGCAAGGCGAAGAAGAACCUGGAACAACAGCUCGAGGAAUUAAAGAAACAGCUCGACGACGAGAUGCGCGCCAAGGCUGAGGCCCAAGCAAGACUUAAGAACCUCGAGGCCGACUUCGACGCCAUGCAAGAGAACUUCGAUGAGGCUGAAGAUGGUAAGGCGGAUCUGCAAAAGCAGCUCUCCCGUGCAAACACCGAGGCUCAGAGCUGGAAGAACAAAUACGAACAGGACGCCCUGGCCAAGGUCGAGGAGCUUGAGGAUGCCAAGCGCAAGCUUGCUGCCAAGCUCCAAGAGAUGGAAGAGGCUCUUAACACCGCACAGACAAAGGCUGCAAGCGCUGAAAAGACCAGGAGCCGUCUUAACUCUGAGCUUGAGGAUGCCCUCAUCGACCUGGAGAAGGCGCAAACCAACAACGCGAACCUAGAGAAGAAGCAGAAGAAGAUCGACAUCCAGAUCAACGAAUGGCGCGUCAAGCUUGAAGAAGUCCAGGCUGAUCUUGACAACUCCCAAAAGGAGGCCAGGAACUACUCCACUGAGAUGUACAAGAUCAAGGCCGCCUUCGAUGAGCAGAGCGAGCAAGUCGAAGCCCUGAAGCGCGAGAACAAGAGCCUUGCAUCCGAGGUCAACGAUCUUGCCGACCAGCUUGGUGAGGGAGGCAAGAGCGUCGUGGAGCUCGAGAAGCUGAGGAAGAGACUCGAGAUGGAGAAGGAGGAGCUCCAGACCGCUCUCGAGGAGGCUGAGGGUGCCCUUGAGGGCGAGGAAGGCAAGGUCCUCAAGAUCCAACUCGAGAUGACUCAGCUGAAACAGGAAUUCGAGCGCAAACUGGCUGACCGUGAUGAGGAGAUCGACACCCUCAGGAAGAACCACCAACGCCAGCUCGACGCUCUCCAGGCUUCUCUUGACAGCGAGGUGAAGUCCAAGAACGAGCAUGCUCGCCUCAGGAAGAAAUUCGAGACGGACUGCAACGAGAUGGAAAUCAACCUUGAAAACUCCAUGAAGGCCAACCAGGAACUCCAGAAGACUACCAAGAAACUGCAACAGCAAGUCAAGGACCUGCAACUGAUGGUUGAAGAGGAACAGCGAGGCCGUGACGACGCUCGUGAAUCUGCCGCCCGCGCCGAGCGUCGCUCUGCUGAGCUGGCCGCCGAGCUGGAAGACCUCAGAAACCAACUGGAGCAGGCCGACCGCGCCCGCCGCACCGCUGACCAGGAACGCGCCGACGCCGUGGACCGUCUUGCCGAGGUGUCCAACCAGGUCAACAACCUUCAACAGGGCAAGAGGAAGCUGGAAGGCCAGGUCAACACGAUGCAGGAGGAACUCGACGAUGCAGAGAACGAGGCUAAGGCCGCUGAUGAGCGCUCGAAGAAGGCAGCUGCUGAAUUCGCACGCGCACAGGCUGAGCUAGUUAGCGCCCAGGACCACGCUACCGCUGCUGACCGCGCGAGGAUGAGUGCUGAGCGCAUCCAGAAGGACCUUGAGAUGAAGCUUGAGGAGCUGGAGGCUGCUGGAGGCAAGGCCCUCAAGGUUCAGAUCAAGAAGCUGGAGCAGCGGGUGAAGGAACUCGAGCGCGAAUUGGACAACGAGGCCAAACGCAGCGCCGAGUCCCAGAAACUUGCCAAGAAAAACGAGCGCCGAAUGAAGGAGAUCCAAUUCCAGGCUGACGAGGACCAGAAGAACCUCGCUCGUGCUCAGGAGAACUCCGACAGAAUGAACAACAAGCUGAAGAAGAUGCGCACAGCUGUGGAGGAGGCGGAAGCGUUGGCCGCUGCGAACCUGGCCCGCUUCAGAAAGGCUCAGACUGAGCUUGAAGAGGCCGAGGAGCGGGUCGAGCAACUGGAGAGCUCUCUUCAGAAGGCCCGCGGACGUGCCCGCACCAGCGGAGUUAUGAGUGGAGGACGUGCGGCAUCUCGCGAGCCGUCAUCAUCAAGCAGUAUGAGGUCCCGCUCUAGACACCAACACGAUGAAGAUUAAGGGCCGUAAUCUUAAAUCCAAGAGCAAAUAAACCCCUCGCAGUAGUGUGCCUUCCCGGCAUGCCUUUUCUGACGUCAUAUCGCUCAAGCAGCCACCGAAGUGCUUCCUCAACCUCAUUAGAUGACGAAUAAUCUACCCAAGAAUUUAAUAAUUUUGAUGUUAUAGACAUAGCCAUUUUCGACGAUAACCUGGUCCGCGGUAUAUCCUAUGUAGCACGAGUACAACCCACAUAAAUAUAUCUGUCCAAGUAAAAACAACAAUUGGUGGAAUCCCACGUGAAAGUGUCAAGGAUUUGGCUAUUUUUGCCAUUUCUCUUUUCAAAGGUAAACAUAGUAUUUUUUGUAAUUGUCGAGAAGGAGAAUUAAGAAACCGAGAUUUGAUAUCGCUUAGAAGCUAGCCAUUUAUUUUGAAUCAGUUGUGUCAGGAGAAGUGCACAGUUAGUUAAUUAAAAAGUUUAAGAUCA